rnacentral:rRNA from 1 species
UACGUAGGGUGCAAGCGUUGUCCGGAAUUAUUGGGCGUAAAGAGCUCGUAGGCGGUUUGUUGCGUCGGCUGUGAAAUCCCGAGGCUCAACCUCGGGUCUGCAGUCGAUACGAGCAAACUAGAGUGUUGCAGGGGAGACUGGAAUUCCUGGUGUAGCGGUGAAAUGCGCAGAUAUCAGGAGGAACACCCAUGGCGAAGGCAGCUCUCUGGGUCGGCCCUGACGCUGAGGCGCGAAAGCGUGGGGAGCGAACGGG